rnacentral:rRNA from 1 species
GACGUAGGGGGCGAACGUUAUCCGGAAUUAUUGGGCGUAAAGGGUGCGUAGGUGGCCUGACAAGUUAUCAGUGGCAAAUCGAGGCUCAACCUCGUGGAAACUGGUAAUACUGUUCGGCUUGAGUACAGGAGAGGUUAACGGAACUCUAUGUGGAGCGGUAAAAUGCACAGAUAUAUAGAAGAACAUCAAUAAAGGCGAAGGCAGUUAACUAUUCUGUUACUGACGCUGAGGCACGAAAGCGUGGGGAGCAAAACGG